rnacentral:tRNA from 2 species
GGGUUGAUAGCUCAGUCGGUAGAGCAGCGGACUUUUAAUCCGUUGGUCGCGAGUUCGAGUCUCGCUCAACCCACCA